rnacentral:rRNA from 1 species
AUGUACAUGCCUACAACAUUUAUGCACUGGAUCCCAUCAAAACUUCACAGUUAAGAAUGCUUAGGCUAGAGUAGUAUUGGGAUGGGUGACCUCCUGAGAAGUCCUAGUAUUUUACAUG